rnacentral:rRNA from 1 species
UACGGAGGGGGCUAGCGUUGUUCGGAAUUACUGGGCGUAAAGCGCACGUAGGCGGCUUUGCAAGUUAGAGGUGAAAGCCCGGGGCUCAACUCCGGAAUUGCCUUUAAAACUGCAUCGCUAGAAUUGUGGAGAGGUAAGUGGAAUUCCGAGUGUAGAUGUGAAAUUCGUAGAUAUUCGGAAGAACACCAGUGGCGAAGGCGACUUACUGGACACAUAUUGACGCUGAGGUGCGAAAGCGUGGGGAGCAAACAGG